UACGGAAGGCAGCAGUGGGGAAUAUUGCACAAUGGGCGCAAGCCUGAUGCAGCCAUGCCGCGUGUAUGAAGAAGGCCUUCGGGUUGUAAAGUACUUUCAGUCGUGAGGAAGGUGUUAAGGUUAAUAACCUUAGCAAUUGACGUUAGCGACAGAAGAAGCACCGGCUAACUCCGUGCCAGCAGCCGCGGUAAUACGGAGGGUGCGAGCGUUAAUCGGAAUUACUGGGCGUAAAGGGCACGCAGGCGGUUAAUUAAGUUGGAUGUGAAAUCCCCGGGCUUAACCUGGGAAUGGCAUUCAAGACUGGUUAGCUAGAGUCUUGUAGAGGGGGUUAGAAUUCCAUGUGUAGCGGUGAAAUGCGUAGAGAUGUGGAGGAAUACCGGUGGCGAAGGCGGCCCCUGGACAAAGGCUGACGCUCAUGUGCGAAAGCGUGGGGAGCGAAAC
rnacentral:rRNA from 1 species